rnacentral:rRNA from 1 species
UUCCGGUUGAUCCUGCCGGACCCUACUGCUAUCGGGGGAGGACUAAAACAUGCAAGUCAUGCGUCUCCAAGCUAUGAUGGAGACGCGGCGUACAGCUCAGUAACACGUGGCUAACCCACCCUUGAGACGGAGACAACCCCGGGAAACUGGGGCUAAUUCCCGAUAGGAGAAGACACCUGGAAGGGGUCUUCUCCCAAAAGGCGCUUAGAUCAUGCUUCUAGACGUUGCUCAAGGACGGGGCCGCGGCCGAUCAGGUUGUUGGUGUGGUAAUGGCUCACCAAGCCUAUAACCGGUACGGGCCGUGAGAGCGGGAGCCCGGAGAUGGGCACUGAGACAAGGGCCCAGGCCCUACGGGGCGCAGCAGUUGCGAAAACUCCGCAAUGCACGAAAGUGUGACGGGGCUACCCCGAGUGCCGUCCGCUGAGGGCGGCUUUUCCCCGGUGUAAGGAGCCGGGGGAAUAAGGAGAGGGCAAGUCUGGUGUCAGCCGCCGCGGUAAUACCAGCUCUCCGAGUGGUAGGGAUGAUUAUUGGGCUUAAAGCGUCCGUAGCCGGCCUAGCAAGUCUUCCGUUAAAUCCACCGAUUCAAUCGUUGGACUGCGGGAGAUACUGUUGGGCUAGGGGGCGGGAGAGGCCGACGGUAUUCUCGGGGUAGGGGUAAAAUCCUAUAAUCCCGGGAGGACCACCAGUGGCGAAGGCGGUCGGCUAGAACGCGCUCGACGGUGAGGGACGAAAGCUGGGGGAGCGAACCGGAUUAGAUACCCGGGUAGUCCCAGCUGUAAACGAUGCGGGCUAGGUGUUGGGGCGGCUACGGGCCGCUUCAGUGCCGCAGGGAAACCAUUAAGUCCGCCGCCUGGGGGAGUACGGCCGCAAGGGCUGAAACUUAAAGGAAUUGGCGGGGAGCGCCACAAGGCGUUGAAGCUUGCGUUAAUUGGAGUCAACGCCGG